rnacentral:rRNA from 1 species
UAGGGAAUAUUAGUAAUGGGCGAAAGCCUGAACCUGCGACGCCGCGUGAGUGAUGAAGGUCGUAAGAUCGUAAAACUCUUUUCAGGGAUCUUAACGCACAGCUGUCAACAACAGCUGUGUCUGACUCUCCCUGGAAGAAGCCCCAGCCAACUACGUGCCAGCAGCUGCGGUAAUACGUAGGGGGCGAGCGUUAUUCGGAAUUACUGGGUGUAAAGGGUAUGUAGGCGGCCCUUCAAGUCGCGUGUCAAAGUCCAGUGCUCAACGCUGGGUGUGCACGCGAUACUGACGGGCUUGAGGGCUGGAGAGGUGAGCGGAAUUCCCGGUGUAGUGGUGAAAUACGUAGAGAUCGGGAGGAACACCAGCGGCGCAGGCGGCUCACUAGACAGUUUCUGACGCUAAGAUACGAAAGCGUGGGGAGCAAACA